UACGAAGGGGGCUAGCGUUGCUCGGAAUCACUGGGCGUAAAGCGCACGUAGGCGGACUCUUAAGUCGGUGGUGAAAUCCUGGAGCUCAACUCCAGAACUGCCUUCGAUACUGAGAGUCUUGGGUCCGGGAGAGGUGAGUGGAACUGCGAGUGUAGAGGUGAAAUUCGUAGAUAUUCGCAAGAACACCAGUGGCGAAGGCGGCUCACUGGCCCGGUACUGACGCUGAGGUGCGAAAGCGUGGGGAGCAAACAGGG
rnacentral:rRNA from 1 species